GAAGUUGGCGGACGGGUGAGUAAUGUCUUCUUAAACUGCCUGAUGGAGGGGGAUAACUACUGGAAACGGUAGCUAAUACCGCAUAACGUCGCAAGACCAAAGAGGGGGACCUUCGGGCCUCUUGCCAUCGGAUGUGCCCAGAUGGGAUUAGCUUGUUGGUGGGGUAACGGCUCACCAAGGCGACGAUCCCUAGCUGGUCUGAGAGGAUGACCAGCCACACUGGAACUGAGACACGGUCCAGACUCCUACGGGAGGCAGCAGUGGGGAAUAUUGCACAAUGGGCGCAAGCCUGAUGCAGCCAUGCCGCGUGUAUGAAGAAGGCCUUCGGGUUGUAAAGUACUUUCAGCGGGGAGGAAGGGAGUAAAGUUAAUACCUUUGCUCAUUGACGUUACCCGCAGAAGAAGCACCGGCUAACUCCGUGCCAGCAGCCGCGGUAAUACGGAGGGUGCAAGCGUUAAUCGGAAUUACUGGGCGUAAAGCGCACGCAGGCGGUUUGUUAAGUCAGAUGUGAAAUCCCCGGGCUCAACCUGGGAACUGCAUCUGAUACUGGCAAGCUUGAGUCUCGUAGAGGGGGGUAGAAUUCCAGGUCUAGCGGUGAAAUGCGUAGAGAUCUGGGAGGAAUACCGGUGGCGAAGGCGGCCCCCUGGACGAAGACUGACGCUCAGGUGCAAAAGCGUGGGGAGCAAACAGGAUUAGA
rnacentral:rRNA from 1 species